GGCUUAACACAUGCAAGUCGAGCGAGACCUUCGGGUCUAGCGGCGGACGGGUGAGUAACGCGUGGGAACGUGCCCUUUGCUACGGAAUAGCCCCGGGAAACUGGGAGUAAUACCGUAUGUGCCCUUCGGGGGAAAGAUUUAUCGGCAAAGGAUCGGCCCGCGUUGGAUUAGGUAGUUGGUGGGGUAAUGGCCCACCAAGCCGACGAUCCAUAGCUGGUUUGAGAGGAUGAUCAGCCACACUGGGACUGAGACACGGCCCAGACUCCUACGGGAGGCAGCAGUGGGGAAUCUUAGACAAUGGGGGCAACCCUGAUCUAGCCAUGCCGCGUGAGUGAUGAAGGCCUUAGGGUUGUAAAGCUCUUUCAGCUGGGAAGAUAAUGACGGUACCAGCAGAAGAAGCCCCGGCUAACUCCGUGCCAGCAGCCGCGGUAAUACGGAGGGGGCUAGCGUUGUUCGGAAUUACUGGGCGUAAAGCGCA
rnacentral:rRNA from 1 species